UUGAAAAUAUAUAUGUUUUCUUACAAAAACUGGUUUUUGGACACCCUUUUCAGAAAAUACAUUACAUCUUGAAUUACACUCAAGUUACGGGAAUAGUACCUUCAGCAAAGUUGUUUGAAAUAACUUUCUGCACAACUUUGUCGAAGUUACUUAGCCCCUAUGUUGGCCCUGAGCAAAAAUAAAAUGUUUAUCUCACUUUUAGGGGAAUUAAUCACAUGAAUAAAAUUUGCCAAAAGAUGGCGUCUAUCAUUCUGCGCAACUUUGCUGAAGAUACUGUACCUCAAAAACCACGAUCCUAUGAGUUAUCAAUUAAGAGCGUGAAAUUGCGCUUUUGAACCACUGUGUGGUGGCGUGAAUUGCUCUGGUUUUGCUUUUUCGAACAGAAAUGCAAUAUUCUGACGGUGUUUCAUUGCCAUUUCUGCUCGAAAGUGCAAAACCAGAGCAACCCAUGCCACGAGUGUUUUUCAAAGAAAAACGCCAUAACAUUCUGUGAAAAUACUACUCGCCUACUUCUAGAAGUGUGAGAAGAGCUCCGGCGUAUGAAAACGCAAUAAUGACGGCUUGACUUUGAAAAUAUUUUGGCAGUAACUUCAAAUCUUUCGUCACGUAUGCUGCCACCCAUGAAAUAUCCAAGACAGAAAUUAAAGCUCAAGUGGGACGGAGUAACCAUCAAACCAUGUGAAUCAAUUUGCAGAAGAAAAUGACUUGAAGUGCGAUUUAUUGGUGUUUGUUCGAAAAACGUGUAUUAGAUUUUUAAUCAAUAUUUGUAGUAUUAGAACUUGAUCAAUAUUUGCAGUUCAUCAAUUCCUUUUUAACAAAAAAGCGGUACGGUUAAUCUUAUCCUCAGCAGCUAAUGUUAAUCUGCAGCCAAUAAUGAUAAUUUUUGAUGCAAAGUCGAUAGAGUCAAAUCAUAUUUACCAUAGAUCCAAGAUCAAAUUUCUGAAUUACGUACUCGAGUCCCCAAGAGCGAAAUAGAUUGAAGCGAGGUUAUGCAGUGUUUGACUUACAGUAAUCAUAAUGCAUCAAACUUCGUCAUAUAAUAACAACAACACACACACGUUCAGCAAUUUAUGAUAACAGUAUCAGUAGUAACGGAUUAUCACAAAUAACUAAAAAUAAAAGUUUUUUAAGUUUUUAGGAAUCAAUCGACAUCAAAUAGAGAAACAUGUCGCAAGCUUGGCUUUCUCAAACUCGGACGACGAUUUUGAACAUUCCCGCGUUCCGGAAACCAGAAUUUGGUUCCAAAUGCUAGUUUUAGUAUUCAGUUACAGAAUUACAAUUACCAAAUUCAGCUCCAAAUUUUUGUUUAAAAACUCAGGUCCAGAAUCCAGUUCCAGAAUUAAGCACCAAAAUUUAUUUCUCUUUCUCUAACCCGUCGACAAUUCUGAUCAUGCUCGCGUUCCAGAAUCCAGGAUUCCGGUUCAAAAUUCAGUUCUCGAAUCCAGGUUCAUCCAGGCCAUUCUGUUGCGGAAUUACAGAUACAGUUACCAAAUUCAGUUACAAAAAUCUGAUCUAAAACUCUGCUAUAGAAUUCAGUUCGUAAAUUUUGUUUCAGAAUUCAGCUCCCAAAUCUCGCUCCAAAAUUUAUCUGUUUUUUUUUGUCGUGAAUACGACUUACUUUACUAUGGGACGCCUUUUCAAAAUUUACCCUCUGAGAGAGAGAUAAGUUUUUGAUCGUGAAUAUCUCUUGUUGUAUCUAACGAAUCAACAUAAUUUUUGAUACAUUCCAUUCCGGCAAUAUGAUCACAAUAUUAUGAUAAAAUUUUCAGUUUUGUGACAUAAUCUCAAAUAGUUCAAAAUUACACUUUCCUGAAAUGUUUGGUAUAAACGAGUAUCAAAGAGGAUAAUUCAUAAGGCGCGGAUGGGUCCGCUGCAAACCAACCCUAGACCUUCAGUCUGAAUGACACGAUCGACUUGUAAACUUUCACACAUUCCAUAGAAAUCCGACAACACCGACAAGGACAUGCAGACGGCGCUUCGAUCGAUUGACAGGUUAACAUCGUUGAAUUUUGGGGCGGUAAAUUCACAGUUUUCUCCGUUUUAGCAACUUUAGUUUCGCGGAUCAAUAUUAUUCAAUAAAUACCACUCUCACUACUAAACACACACUUGCCACACUUGCACAGUUACUCAAAAUAACUAUUUCAACCAAUUUUUUAAAUAUACGUAUCAAACAACACAUUGAAAUUAUACUUUUUUAAGAGGACACCGCAUCGCACUCCCAGUGGUGCCAACUUUCCCCUCCACACAAAAUCAGCCGUUCGAACGGCUCUAAAAGUUUUCUAAAGAACUAUUAGGAUUUCUUCUUCGCAAAUCGAAGGUAAAUAUCCUCAGUUUAAUGCAAAUCUAGAACAGUUUGAUUAGAUUUGUGCACUUUUCGCUGCGUGAAAUUCACAGUAAUCGAGAUCAAGUGAAGCCUUCUUUGUUUUUGCGAAAAAUGGGUAUGCUUGCAUAAUACAUACAAUUGAUCAACUAAUUGAUAUUCGGAAGUGUUAAGGAACAUGUUAGUUGUUUUCGUAUUCACGACAUCCAGUUAUGUCUCUGACAUUACUCACCCGCUUUUUAUUCUCAGAAACCGGCUUCGAUAAUUCCUGCAUUCCAGUGUCCUGGAUUCAGAUCCAGUACCCAGUUACAGAGUUACAGUUAGCAAACUCAGUUCCAAAGUUCUGAUCUAAAACAUAGAUCAAUUUGAAUAUCAUCUUGUAAAAUUCAGAUCCAGGAUUAGAAUUCAGAUGCUGAAAUUGGAACUAAAUUCUCCAAUUUUAGAACCCAGGAAAAAAUUUAGUUCCAAAAUUCAACUCAAAUUUUUAAUUCAAAAUUUAAUUUCCCGAAUCCAGAAUCAGAAUCCGGAAAUUAAUUUAGCUGAAAAUACAAUUUUAAAACUCAGUUUCUUAAUUCAGUUCUAGAACUUAGUUCUAAAAUUCAGCUACGGAACCCAGAUUCUGAAUUCAUGUCCAGGAAUCCAGUUCCAGUUCCAAAAUUCUGGUUCCGAGCUUCGUUCAAAAACUCAGUUACAGAAUUCAGUACUAGAGUGCAGUUUCAGAAUACAGAGCCAAAAUUCUGUUCCAGAAUUCAUUACCAAUGCUGAACUCAGGGUCUGGCGCAAACUCCAUUUAUGGAUUUGGACUUGAACUUGUACUUGGAUCUGGAAGUGGAACUAGACUUACCAAAUUACUGAUCCAGAUCACCUGGAAUUAGAACCGGACCUGAACUUUCCAUAUUACGGGUUCAGUUCCAGGUCCAGAUCUAGAAAUAUGGUAAGAUCAGAUCCAGUAUCCAGUAUGGGAGACCGGGGAUUGUUGGAUGAGAUAUUUCUGUACUCUUAUUCUGGUUAGACUUUUGGAUAAACGGUUUGCGCUGUCUUGAAGUUACAACUUUUGAGCAUAUGUGCCAAUUUUUUUUUACUGAAUGAAAUCCAGGAAAAAAGUUAUUAACAAUCAAAUGCGAAGAAAAAAAAUCCACGCAGGUUCCUAUCAGAAAUUUUGAAUACUAAGAACUGUGAUGGUAUUUGAAACCUUAAACAUUAAAAUUUUCUCUUUAAUCAACAAUUUUCAAAUUUUUUAUUAUUCUAAUCUCUUAUUUCUAUUUGUUAAUUGUGGAAAAACAGGAAAACGGCUGUCUCAGUCUUUGAUACAAACGAUUGCUGUUUACUGUCCGAGGUUUUGAUGAAAAAAAGUGCCGCCGAUACCAAAAAAUGAUGAGUGUUAUCCAGACUCUGCACCGGGCGAAGCAACAAUUCGUAAGUGGUUUGCAAAAUUUCGUACUGGUCAUAUGAGCACCGAAGACGAUGAACGCAGUGGACGUCCAAAAGAGGCUGUUACCGAUGAAAACGUGGAAAAAAUCCACAAAAUGAUUUUCAAUUACCGUAAAGUGAAGUGCAUCGAGAUAGCUGACACCCUAAAGAUAUCAAAGGAACGUGUUGGACAUAUUAUUCACGAAUAUUUGGAUAUGAGAAAGCUCUGUGCAAAAUGGGUGCCGCGUGAGCUCACAAUCGAUCAAAAACAACAACGAAUUGAUGAUUCUGAGCAGUGUUUGGAGCUGUUAUAUCGAAAUAAAACCGAUUUUUUUCGUCGAUAUAUAACAAUGGACGAAACAUGGCUCCAUCACUUCACUCCGGAGUCCAAUCGACAGUCAGCUGAGUGGACUGCACGCGAUGAACCGAACCCAAAGCGUGGAAAGACUCAACAAUCGGCCGGUAAGGUUAUGGCGUCUGUUUUUUGGGAUUCGCAUGGUAUAAUUUUCAUCGACUACCUUGAAAAGGGAAAAACCAUCAACAGUGACUAUUAUAUAGCGUUAUUAGAGCGUUUGAAGGACGAAAUUUCAAAAAACCGGCCUCAUUCGAAGAAGAAAAAAGUUUUGUUUCAUCAAGACAAUGCACCGUGUCACAAGUCGAUGAAAACCAUGCUGAAAUUGAACGAAUUGGGCUUCGAAUUGCUCCCUCAUCCACCGUAUUCUCCAGAUUUGGCCCCCAGUGACUUUUUCCUGUUCUCAGACCUCAAGAGAAUGUUCGCUGGUAAAAAAUUUAGAAGCAAUGAAGAGGUAAUCGCUGAAACUGAGGCCUAUUUUGAGGCAAAGGACAAAUCGUACUACAAAAAUGGUAUCGAAAAGUUGGAAGAUCGCUAUAAUCGCUGUAUCGCCUCUGAUGGCAAUUAUGUUGAAUAAAAAAAAUGAAUUUUUGCAAAAAAAAUGUGUGUUUCAAUUAAACGAUACGAACUUUUCAGCCGAACUGUUAUAAGACUGAGACAGCCGUUUUUCUAUUUUUCCACAAUUAUCACCCAGAUCAAACUUGUUCCUGUCCAAACGACACCUGAAAUUAUGUCGACACAUGGGACGGACCUGAUACCCUACCAAAAUCACUAUAGAUGUCACACCAGGCAUAAUAGCCUUUUCAUAAGAGUCAUUCGGCCCUUCAAACAACUAGCCACGAUCUACCCUAAUAUGGUAAUUCCAGCUCGAACUGCUUUUUCGCAUUACGCACGACAAUGUUUAACACUAAACCAUUUGUUAUAUUCGUAUUCACGUCAUCACGGUUAUGUCUCUGACAUUAUUCGCUCAGUUUUUUCUAUUGUUCUGAUUACGUUUGCUUUUAAACGAAACAAUAAAAAGACGAUGACGAAACUAUUAAUUGAAUCCAGUGAAUCGAUAGAUGUGAUUGGUACUUUGCUAUAAUAAAUAAAAAAAAAGUAUUAUGCCGGGUUGGGAAUCAAACCCAAGUAUUUGUUGAUUCAAUGAAAAAUAGUCUAUAAGAAUUUUAAUGAGGAAUAUUGCGAUAACAACAAACUUCAUUGGUAAUAAGUGUAAGUUCAAGUGUAAUCGAAAAUAAUACAUGAUAAAUGCUCAAUUCACCAAACAAUAAACAGGCAACACUUGCUCGCUAAGAUUCUUUUCCCUAUAGUAGCGUCUCCUUUAUCAGCGUCGCCGAAGCGUUAUAAGAUGCCGGUAAACGCAACACAAGACGAAGGGUUACAUCUUCUCAGCAAGUAAGGAUUCGGAGCUCGGAGCUCGCGCGCACACUCCCGGAUUGGGUCCGUCGGUACUCGGUAGGACCGGCAGAGCUGUCUCAUGUCUUCUAUACGACUUCUAUAGCGCUGCGGCACGCGAACUCGGUUGCGUUAGUGUGAGUAGACAGCUACAUCCAAUCGCAGGAUUUUAUUCGGCGUUCGACGGAUGGAAAAGGGGUGCAAAAAAUGUUCUAAUGUUGGAAGGGGAUAGGGUUCCUGCGGGAUGUUUUUUUUUCAUCGCUGUAGAAUAUCUUAUUUGCUAGCGAGAUUCGCACAAGGGAUGAAAAAACGAACCCCUUUUUCGGGCUGCGAAUUGGCUUAUGUACUGUGGUGUACCAACACCAAGGAAACCCUUCUAGUUUUGCCAAUCUUAAGACGAAAUCUUCACGGUAUUGGUUGGAAAUUUUUCGGUUGAUUUUUCCACGAAGGCGUACUGAUUCUAGAAGUAGCACUUUUUAUGUGAGAGUUUCUUUCAAAGACGAAGGAAAAUCACGGUUUUUCUUCGGCUUGAUUUCUUCGGUACAUAUGUGUGUGUGGAUUUGGCUUGGUCCUACAAGGCGUAAUUUUUGACAUGCGACCGUGAAGGGUGUUAUUAGGCAGGCGAGCCCAACCGUAAACGGACGCAUUUGAAAACGAGACUUGUGUGGUCUGACUGGUCGAGUCAGAAAAAAAAAUAAUUUCAAUUACCAGACCAAAAAAAAAAAUACUACCAACGGUCAGAUUUAGCCGUUAGCCGGCGCCAAUCCGACAAUGGUGGCCAGCUGCUGGAAAACGGUUAGAUACAAAGUGAUGGCGAUCUACGCGUCCGCCAAAAGUUCAAUUCCGGUUUCGGAGAACAAUCGCUGCUCGGAGGACGAGCUGCUUUCGGCUCAAUUACAACCGUUUCAUCAUCGUGACGGUUCCGGUGCUGGUCAGUGGCAGGGUCAGAAUCCAACUGUUGAUUGCCACCGACCGUCCAACCGGGAUGAUGAUGUUGGGAGGGAUGAACCAGUCAGCUGCGACGACAAUGACGACGUCGACGACGACGACGACGAUGAAGGUCAUGGAAGCAAUGAUUAUUGUCGUCCAGUUUGGUGGCGGCAGGCAAUCAUCGUCCGAAGCCGGCAUGGCGAUUCAGUUGGACAGAUUUAGUCCUGUCCGCACAAGUGGUUAGUGAGGAUGUGUUGUAAGGGCGCGCGCUGGGAUAGUUGUCCGGCAACGUCGGAAGGAUUUUUUCUUUUGUUUUUGGCUACCUGUAAUGCAAGAUUCGUGAAGUAUAACCAAUGCAAUGCUUAACAAUACAGUAUUAUAAUGUUAUAUGAUAACCAGUGCAAAUUAGCAACCUGAAACGAGUUGUAGUAUUUUGACGAACAUAUCUAAUUGUUAAUGUAAGAAAGAGCAUAAUAUGUACAGUGCAAAUCUUGACAGUGAAAGUGCGAUAAAUAUUUGAAGAGCGACGAAAAGUUUAAUGAUUAUUAAAAUAUAUUUGUAUCUAAUCAGUUGAACUCUGAACCAUAUGGAAAUUACUUAAAUUCAAUCGAAGAACAGUGUACAAAUUCCUAACACUUCAGUAGAAAUAUUGUCCGCCGUGUUUCGAUUCAACCCAGAAAGACAUCAUGAUUAAUACUCAUUCCUAAUUAUUUCAAUGAUUUUAGUUGAUUCCACAGAACUUCCAUUUGCAAAAAAAUAAAAUUCAUCAUAAAUUCCGCUUAAUUCCAAUAGCAGUCUUUGAGGUUUUAAGAUCUUGCAUUUAAAUCUAAGUUUGUGCAAUAUUUUGUAACUUUUUUCCGCACAUAUCACUCUGUAACUCCGGAACCAGACGUCGGAUCCGGACGAAUUUCAUUAUCAGUAUAUGGAAAGAACGCGAAACCUUUAGUUUGAAUUUAGUUUGUGAAAAUCGGCCAUCAAGACAAUGCACAUUUUUGUCUCAUCUCAGAUCAAUAGUCGGUAUUCAUAGUGAUUGCAUAGCAUUUGUAAAGAGUAUUUUUUAGUAGGUUUGUUUUUUCAACUCUAUUGUUUGAAAGUUGGCUUGACAGUGUAAAAUGAUGCCUCUACUCAGUAUUGUUUGGCAAAUCAUCAUGAAUAGGUAAACUCCAGAACAACGCUUCCAAAUCGUGGAAAUUUUAUUUUAAAAAUCAGUGUUCAAUUAAAACUGUUUAUAGAGAACUUCGGGAAUUUUAUGGUGCACAUAAUCGUCCAUCUGAGACCACAGUAAAGAACGUAAUUACCGAAUUACGGUAUAUAUUUUCUUUUUUUGAAUGCCAACCCAUCGACAAGAAUGGGAAUCGUUCGUAUAGAAAAAAAUAUUGCUGUCGUUCAGGCCAGUGUCGAAGAAAACGACAGUUUCUUUAAAAAUUACGGAGGACGACGCGUUACCGUGAAUAGAAAUCGAAACAUAAUCAGGACCAAUGAAUUUUUGUUACCAAUUCUUCCAGAUAUGGAUGUGGAUGGAAUAUGGUUUCAACAGGAUGGUGCCACUUGUCGUACUGCGGCCGAAACAACCAACUUAUUGAAAGAACAUUUCAACGACAACAUAAUUUCGAGAAAUGGUCCGGUGAAUUGGCCUCAUUUCAUAAUUUGACAUGUGUUUUAUUCAAUUUUCAAAUCAGAAAGCUCUUAAAAACACUCUUUAUAAAGCACACUUGACGCAAAAAGUAACUCGUAACUAACCAUGUUAUUCCAGAACCGGUGGUCGAAUCUGAAUAAAAUACAGGAAUUUUCUAUUAGAUUGUUAGCCUUCCAUUCGAAUCCCAGAUUCGAAAAAUCGGUUUAGCCCUACCUGAGAAACUUAAGUGCGCCUUUUUCAUAUAGAAGGGCUAUGCAAUCGCCGCGAAAACCGACUUUUUAACCAACACUGAAAAUCAUUUUUACCUAUGUUUUGAGGAAAAUUCACUCAUUGUUGAACUCUUCUAUAAGCUACUCAAAAUUAGGUCGAUAUCUACUCAAACUUUGACUUGAUCGUAAAAAUGGGUAGGGUGCUUUGUUAUGGCAUAACACUUGUACUAAACUUACAUUUACCUAAAUUUUGAGGUCAUCACUUGUUACCCAAAAUUGAGGAGAUGCACUUCAGUUGACAUUGGUUUUGACUUAAAAUUAGGUAGCGGUUGAUAAGAGUGAAGGCCCAGAGAGCCGAGUAUACAAUUCGACUCAGUUCGUCGUGAUCGCAAAAUAUCGGCGUGUGUUUGUGUAUGUAUGUGGCACUCAAUUUAAUCGGAGAUGGUUAAAAUGUUUUCUCGAACUUAUACUCAAAUAGAAGCUUUUUUAGUCCCAUAUUACACAACUGAAUUUCAUCCGAAUCCGACUCCCGGUUCCAGAAGUACAGAGUGAUAUGUUCCAAAAAAAUUGAAAGAAUGUGCGCUCAAUUUUAUCUGAUAUGGCUUAGUCGAUUUUCAAAAUCGUAGUUUCAAAUGAAAGGCCUUACAAUCUCAUAGCCUGCUAUUUUUUUCAAAAUAUCAAAAAAUCGACUUACUUUAAUCAUAACUGGUUGGACCGAAUUUCACAAACAUGAAUUAGAAUGAAAAAUCUUUCAGUUACAUAGAAAAUUCUUGAAUUUGAUCUGGAUCCGACUUCCGGUUCCGGAAUUACAGGUUAUUAAGUAGAAAAAUUUAAUUUACUCAGGCUUUAUCUUAUACGAGCGACGUUGUCAAAACAAAAAUAAACUCAAGAUGAAAUGGUCUAUGAUUUUGUAUGUACAAUUCAAUCAGAUCCCCUCGGUUGAUGAUCUCGAUUCACCAUCAGUUGUAGUUCAAUUAGGGUUUUUACCGUCACUGCUAACCUCAAUCGGAUGAACACAUUUUUAAAGCUCAGCAGUACUGUUUGUAAAAAGAGUUUUUUUUUGUUUGUCUGUUGACAAACGGAAGAGACCGUUAACCGAUUUGGGCGAGAUGACCAAAUAGAUUUUAAAAUCAUUUGUUGACGAUUAGAUUCGAUUUGUUUAAAAAAUUUAUUAAAUAAAAGUGGCUGGUUGCGAAGUGUAAAGAUGAUUGUUUGAUAUUUCGAACUGUCAAGGCUGAAUUCUUAUUCAAUUGUGACAUGAAGAUAAAAAAUCUAAUUAUUAUUUAAACAAAACAACAAGCGUCGUAACGCUACAUACGUCGUAACUAUGACAAUGUUUGUUUAUGCAGAAUCAACCCUAAGUUGCAAUGUGAAAGAAAUCAUGAUACUUUGCUGCAUAUCGAGAGGAUCUUGAAACAGUAAAGCGAAAAUCAAUUAGAAUUAUUACUAAGAAUCUAUUUAAUUUGUUAUAUUCUAAUUCUACCAGGCACUAGAGUGGAUGGAAGUAACCAAAUAUUUUGUGCGAUACAUUUGCAUAAGUUUACUUCCUUCCAAACUUACAUUGUUACUAUGGUAUUUUACCGUCAUUUUCAAAAGUUUGUCGACGCUUAUUAACGAAGGGUCACCAAAAUUUCACCAUUAUUAAGUUCACUGGUUCACGACUACUGUUCCAAUAUUUAUCCAAACUCAAGAUGGAGUGAUCUGCGAUUUCUCAUGUAUCAAUUGAAUAGGACCCUUCGAUCAACUCAGGUAAUUGCCAGUUUAAGUAAAAUCAUCAUUUGUUACAAAACAACAAGCGUCCAUUCGCUAUAUGCGUUGUAUCAGAAAUCAGGAAUCAUAACUAAUUGGCUCAAGUGGCACGUUCCCCUAGUGAUUUGUGCCUUGCCGUAGCUUCUCAUCAAUUUUCUGAUGGAAAGGGAUGGAUAAAAGGAAACUGGAAAGAAAUUGUGAAGUGGGUGAGGUGGGAAAACAGCACAAAACAUUAAAAAAACUAUGACAAUGUUUCGAUAACUCACCCAACAUUUUUCAAUGGAUCCUAAGGGACAUCGUACCCUUGAGUUUAUCUUUGGUCAAAAUAAGCAAACACUUCUUGACUGAUUGAUAAACUCUUCUAGUUUGCCGAUAACAAUUAGUUGACGGAAACAUGAACAGAACCACCGGCAAUAAAGGUGAACAAAUUCAAAAUGGACUCCCACUUUGAUUUGUUAGCGAUUUCUGAACCAUUUUUCGCAGAAAUUCAACUUAAGUGAAAGGAUCUUAAAGGCUGCUGUGCUAUUUAUUAAGAUUCGAUUUCCGGUUCCAGAAUAACAUGUUGAUGAGUGUCAAAAAUUUCAAACCGUUCUAUAAAAUGACAAUACAAAACAUGUGGCAACUAUUAAAAAAAAGCUCCUAUUUAGAAGUCUUGUUGGUUGAUGGGCAAACGAACCGAUUCCGGCUAUACCGGUCAUCGGUACUGGAAAUACCUGAUAGUUAGUUGUCGGAUACACCUAAAUGGAACUGAUUUUGAUUUCUCAAGAAAGGUUAAACUCGUUAUUGUUGAAUGAUGAGAGAACAAAAUCUCAAGCAUUGAUGCAAAAAUCAUAUAAAACUUAUGAAACUUUCAAUUUAUAGUUGUUAUUAGUUGAUGGCCAUACUAUAUGAAAUAGAAAGUUCCGGGCCUAACAAAGAAAAAGUCGAUUUUUUAUCAUGAAACUUUAUUAUUCUUCAGUAUAAUCUCCAUCUAGGGCAGUACAGUUGACCAAUCGGUCCUCCAACUUUUUGAUUCCCUUGAAAAAAAAAAAGAUUUAUCAAGGCCUUCAAAAUAGGCUUCCUUUUCUGCAAUGGCCUCAGCAUUCGACGAAAAUUCCAUUCCCUGGACAAAAAUUUUUUUAGGUUUGGAAACAGAUAAUAGUCGCUUGGGGCCAGGUCUGGAGAAUACGGGGGAUGAAUAAAUAAAAUGGUGCUUCUUUUUCUGUAGCUUGAUGAAAACUAGAACUCGUCUGACACGAUCAGCUGUUAUUUAAACAGCACUAGUGGAUAGAUUGUCAUGAAUUUUGGUAUUGGGUGUAAUCUAGAGGCUUGCUCUCAACAAAAAUAUACACGGUUCGAAAGUAUUCAGGUCAUUUUUGUGAGUGGCCCGGGACUUUUCAUUCCAUGUAGUACAAACUGACCUUGGUUUCGGUUCCGAAAAUACUUUGAAUAGCGACAUCAUUAACAUCCUGGUGACUAAAGCAAGGAUUUCAUAUGUUUUUCACAAAUCACCCUAUAUUACUGGUCCCGGGUGUUAUAUCCUGAAAAGUUCUGGAACUUUGUAUAAAACAACAUGCUGUUUCCUAAUUCUUGGUAGAAACCUAUCCAAAAUCAACUGAAGUGUAUCUCCACAUUUUUAGGUAAUUAGGUAAUAAAUGAUAUAGUUACUUCCCAUUAUGAACUUGAAAAGAGUAAUCGGUUCAGAGAAGCCAGAUCUGCAGAUUUGCCUGAAAAUCUGCAGAUUUCUUAUAAAGUGCUGCAGACAUUUUUUGCUGAAGACUUUUGAAAUUCGAGUUUUUCACAGGCUUUCGUCAUAAUUUACAGACCUCUGAAACGACCGCCCCUUUUUUGCUUGCUAAACCAGUUUUGUGUAUCAAACUCUAUGGAGAAAUGAAAGCCCGCAUACAUUUUUUCGGAUUUACAGACUUUUGAAACCCAGUUUGGAGAUAUUUGAAAUCUCUAAAUGGGUUAUUCACUUAAAAUUUGGAUGGCACCCACAAUUUUUUCCUACCUAAUUUUGGGUAGAUCAUUGAAAAGCUCAACAAUGAGCGAUUUCUCCCCAAGAAAGAUUAUCAGUGCAGAAUCACUUCGCAUAUCCGGAAACAGAAAGCAGAUCCAGAUAGAAUUCGGGAAUUCUGUAUGGAACCACAAGAAUUUUAUUUGCAUUUAGCCAUAUGAAAAUCAGUUAGACCAUCUCAACGGACAGAGUUGAAUCACAUGUGGCACUCAAAAAUUCAAUUUUUACAAUGAUUGAAUAUUCGUUCUUUAUAAGAAUGGAAAAACACAUCAUAUUCACUUUACGUUUCGUCUUCGGCUGGUAAGCGUACAACAGUUUAUGUUGAGCUGUUAUGUCACUUAGCAGUUCAACAUAACUCGCCAGGCAGACGUACAGUUUUUUUUUAACUUGCAGAACAUUGUUCAUGGCUCGCACCGAAGCGCAAUGUCUAGAAAAACAGUUCAUUUCAAAAAACCUUUCAGUACUGCAGAGUUCUAUUGAUAAAAACUAGUUCUCCAGAGCCGUUCGUUCGUUCGCUUGACAGAUGGUAUGUUUGUGCAAAGACUAAACGAACUUAGCUUUUUAGGUUAAGCGAAGAAAAAAAAACAAAAGGACGCACAAAUUUUAAAAGAGCAUUUUUCAUUUUUCUUGUAAACGAACUACCGUUCUCGAAAAAAGAACUAUUGAUCGUUCAUUAUUUCACAAGAACUAGUUGUUUUGAACCGUUCGCGAACGAAUUGCCCAUCUCUAGUCUUAACCGAUAUUCCGAACGAAAAUGUAUAAUCAAAUUUUCAUUAGAUAGACGAAAAAUAGAUGGAACGGAAUGGAAUCGCAAAAUAAAAAAAAAAUGCGUAAUGUUAUUCCAUAAAGUUCAAACUUCUUCAAUUCUCUGGAACUGCUCUAUCCAUUGAGCCUCCUCUGACAUGUGAGCCGACCACUCUUCAAAAUCGACUCGCUCCUCGUGGAAUAUCAUUUUAGCUUUUUCUUUCAAUUAUUUUUAGUCUGUUCCCAUUUGGUACUACCAUAAAAUAUAAAACCAACUUGGCCAGCCAUUGCCACAUUGUAAUCUUGAGAGCAACGAGUCAUUUUCAUGAGCAAGUGUUUUUUGUCAACAAUUCCUUCUAGCAGUACGUGUUUUUUUGUUGCUUAAAAUUCAAUUUAAUAUGAUUUUUAAUUCAAGGAGUUGUCAUUUUCUCACAUUGUGUAUCAUUUUCCAUUACUACUAUGAAUUACUAUUAUUAAUAUAAUUUAUUUUACCUCAGCUUUAACCUUUUGGUCGUUCACCUGGGGCGCUACUAUGUAGCUUCCGAAAUAGAGUGUAGAAAUAUUUACAGCGCACUAAAUUUAUUUUUAACGUGGGGGUCCGCAGUUAGCUAUUAAACGAGGUCCGUGAUGAAAAAAAGUUGUGAACCACCAGUUGUGAUAGAUUCCCUACCUAUUUCGGGUAAGUUCCUUGUUUUUAUUGACAUUUCUGAGAUAUACCUCAUAGCCAAAUUGGAUUGAAAAUCCUGAUUAUGGAAUUUUCUCCUAUUGAUUUCCAAAAAUGUAAACACAUAAAGGAAGGCAAAAACCAUUGCGGUCAUAUAAUCAAGUUUUCCCAGACGUCUCAACAACGCUUCGCUUGCUUAGAGCGAAUUCCAUAUCAUACAAAAGCCUACUGAAGUAACGGUGACGCCAUUUAUUUUCCUGAUCAGUCUUUAUAUUUUAUUCAAUUCCCUUUUUGCCUUUAUCUUAUAGAAAGGGAAUUCACUCACUGUGAAAACUGACUCUUAAUUUUUCAGAAAUGGGUACACUAAUUUUCAUAUAUGAGUAUGGUUCAAAUGAAAGAUUCUAUAGUCCCAUAGGUGACAGUUAAAUUGUAUUCGGAUCCUCCUUUAGGUUCUAGUAUUAUAAGGUGAUGAGUAUUCGAAAUUAGAAAUUUUCGUUUAAAAUGACACAAUGAUGCAAAUUAACGAAAUAGGCAUCAUUACACAACUAGGUAGAUUAAAACCGGGUUUAACUUAUUAGUGGUAUAGAAACAUACAGGAUUUUACAAACAACGGGUAAAGAAUUUUCCUCUGUUCGCUUCAUAUUUAUCGCACUGCUUAAACUCCACCAAAAUAAUCAAGUUAGCGCAACUCGAGCACAAUAUUAAUGUAAUGAGUUUUGAAUCAAUUUAUAAGUAGCCUACUAGAUAAGUUGUCAUCUGCACAUACCAACAGUUACACUGAGUAAAUAAACGUGUCACAAUUGAAAUGAAUCAAAUGAAAACAAACAAAAGAAGUUUCGCGCGCAGAUUCGCAAUAAUAAAGAAAACAUUUGACAUAACACAUCAUAAAGCAAAUAGAUGAAUAAUAUUUAAGAAAUAAAUUUGUACCAUAAUAAUUAUAAUAAUCACAGCAAUUAAUAAACUAAUAAACUCUAACUAUAAGUGCAAGAAUACACUUUCAGUUUCAUCCAUUUUUCUCCGCCACCCAUCAGCAGGAAUCCUAGCGGAUUCCUACACCAGGGGGGUAAACAUAGCAUCGGCAAAAUGUUCCUUGUAAAAUUACGUGAAAUGAAACGAAUCGGAUACAGAUUGAGUAAAAAGUGGUAGUAGUACUAGGUAUAACAGGUACAGUUUUACGAAAAGAAGAUGGUACUGUCAGUAAAACGAUUGGCAAAUGCAUCAACAUGAUUACUUGAAUACUAAUAAUAAUAUGUAGGCAGUCCUGUAAGAAAACUAUAUGCUAUUGAAAAAUUAACUAAUCAAAUACUAGUAGUAGUCAGAGAAAUGGUCAUGGCUAUAAACAAUUAAAUGGUAAUUGUAACACAUGGAUGUAAUUUAAAAUGUGUGUCUAUCGAAAUCGUUGAAAUAAAUAUUCAUGCAUCAAGUCCCAGAUUAAA